UGAGGAACAUGACCUUCGGCGGGGGAUAGCCGGCCCAACGGCCGGGUAAUACCGCGUACGACCACAUGGGGACAUCCCUGAGUGGUGAAAGCAGCAAUGCGCCGAUGGAGUGCCUCGCGGCCUAUCAGCUAGUUGGUGAGGUAACGGCUCACCAAGGCAACGGACGGGUAGCUGGUCUGAGAGGAUGGCCAGCCACAGUUGGGACUGAGACAUGGUCCAGAUCCGUACGGG
rnacentral:rRNA from 1 species